rnacentral:rRNA from 1 species
GGAGUCUGGGCCGUAUCUCAGUCCCAAUGUGCCCGUUCACCCUCUCAGGCCGGGUAACUAUCGUCGCCUUGGUGGGCCGUUACCUCACCAACCAGCUAAUAGUACGCGGGCCGCUCCUGGGGCGCUUCAAAAGAAGCUUUGAUGUAAAGUCUCUAACUCUCCACACCGUAUUCGGUAUUAUCCGAUAUUUCUAUCGGCUAUCCCCAUCCUCAGGGUACGUCACCCACGCGUUACUCACCAGUCCGCCGCUCUCAUGGAUAGCAAGCUACCCAAUCCCGCUCGACUUGCAUGCUUAAGACGCGCCGCCAGCGUUCGUU